AUGGUCUCUGUGCCCAGGUGUGAUGGUGAGCAGGGGGCCCUAUGGGAACAAAGGAGGGAGGAACUGUCAGCUAUGGGUGCACCAGCUCAGAAUGCUCACCAGAGAGGCUGAGGCAUGGAGUGGGGAGCUGGAUUCAUGACAGCCCCACUGGAAGCAGCCUCAUCCUCAGGCACCCUCCCCAGCAGAUUUUACCUGGGACCUGUCUUGGGCAGCCUGAUCCACAGGCUUCCUCUCAAGCAAUUGUUACUAAUGUGAGUCUUCCUUUCUCAGGUAUACACAUAUCAUACCUGAGUAUCGUUCUCAGGUGGAUGAGGUAAAACAGCCCUGCUCAGAGAAAACAGGCUCAGAAAGUGGCAGUCGGCCCACUCCGGCCUCCGAAUCCGCAACACAUGCCCUGAGAUACCGGCGGCUUCAAGAGGUUUUGCACCUUUACACUAAUGCAAAUGACAGGCCAAGCAACUUUCCCGGACCUUGGAAACCCCCCCCCCGGAGGCCCGAGGGCUUUCUCCUACACUCCCGAGCUGGGACAUCCCUUCCAGAACACUGAGGAUGAAGGCUCCCGCCCGGGAAGGCCUCUCGCCGCGGGCAGGAAGGGGUUACGGCCCCAGCGCCCCCUCCCCCUUCCCGGCCGUCACCUGGCGUGUGGCACGUGGCUGGGGCGGGGGUCCGGGCGGAAGGGAAGGGGACACGGCGGGCUGGGGAAGGCGCUGGGCGCUGCGGCGUAACCAUGACGACCGGGCCCGAGGCGGCUUGUGAAGUCACCAGGACAAGAUUAGCCCCGGGUCACGUGAGCGUCAGGGGCGGGGCGGCGCUUGGGCCCCGCCCCUGGCUCGCCCACGUGCCGGGAGCGCGGACGUGGACCCCCGACCCCAACGGCUGGCAGCGUCUACGCUACUUUCCUUCCCAUGCCGCCGUGGAUCCAUCCCGCAUGCUGCCAAAUCUUCCGUCAGGGCGCCCAGAGAAGGGAGAGCAAUUGGGUUGGCACUGGAGGUGCAGUGCCACUGAGGAAGCGGGACGUGGGGGAAUAGGUGGACUGGACACCGAAAGGGUGACAGGCAUAGCCAGAGAGGGACAAGCCGAGAAACACACAAAAAUCGAAACAGCGUGACGCGCAGGAAGAGCCAAACCUGAGAUGGACGGAGUGAAAAAUUGAUGUUGAAAAGCAGAGGACUCUGAGGAAAAAAAAAGAUGGGAAAGGACUUAAGAAUCUGGAGAUCGUCCCUGCCCUCCCCAGUUCAUUUUCUGUUUAGAAGCUGAGCCUUGAGUAGGCACAGCAACUUGGCCUUUUAAAGGAAUCUUUUGGCCUUGGUCUGGUGUUUGGCAACCAGGAGGCUUAGGCUUGGAGAGGGUGCCAUGCUCAGGGACACUUGAAGCCGGGCUGCCCUCCAGUUCCCCAGGCUCCCCCAGGGGCCCCACUGGUUUCCAGGGCUGGCAGCUGGGGAGAGCCGGAGGGAAGCCAUUUCACCUAUUUGUCUUUUAGGGCAGUGGGAUUGGCUGACGAAGUAGGAGAUGGGACCAAGGGAAAGGGAGGGAGUCUAGCCAGUCUCCGUCCAUCCCCUAUCCAGUUCUUAGGCUAAUGACAACUCUUCCAGAUUGACCUAAAGAGCAGGGGUGGGGUGGGGAUGGGGGAAAGCUGAGGCUUCAGGGAGCCAGACUACUGGAGAUUCCUCUCCCAACACCCCCAGCCCCCCAGUUUUCCUUAUCUCUGACCUGCCAGCUGUGUCUCACUGCCCCCAAGCUGUGUCUUGGCGCCUGAGCUUUGAGGGGCUAUGGCAGCCAGGAGCCCCUGGCCCAGACAUUCGGUCACCUUGGGGGAGGGAGCUGUCUCCCAGCCCAUCAAUUAUGCAGAGCAUGGGGGAAGGGUAGGGAUGUGACAGGCUACUGGGGUGGCUCCUGUCAGUCAAUCUGUCAACCAUAUUUACUAAGUGCUUACUGUGUAGAACUCUAUAUUGGUGAGGGGACAGAGUGGUCUCUAAAUUCUACAUCUUCCAGGAGAGGAGGCUCUCUGGACACCCUGGGAGGCCCUAAUGCUGUUUCAGCUGCCAGCUUCUGCUUUGCUGGUGGUUCCCGGAGGACCCCUCAGGAGGCUGUAGAGGUGGAAUGGGGACAGGAACACCCCACCUCUUAAUUCUCCUUCCAGGUUCUCCUACCUGAGAUGCUGGAGGCUGUGGCAAGGGGAUUAUUCUUUCUCCCUGCCUCCUGUCCCUAACAGUAAAUCUCCCUGCCAAGCUGCUGGUCUGGCUGUCCUGGGGGCUCAGCUGAGAGGCCAGGCCAUCUGUCUCAAUCUUGGGCUCUCACACUGGGCACCCAACACAAUCCUGGCCCUCAUUUUGCACUCAAGAAAAGGAGGAAGAGUCCCCUUCUCUCUUGAGUGGGGGUGGGAAAGGAGGUCUUCACAGAGAAAGGAGACCCAAGUCUUUGAAAUGCUGGUUCCACCUCUGCAGGCUUUGGGGUAAAGGACUCCGACUCUGGCAGCCAUGCCUCUUCGCCACUUGGCUGCAGCCUGUUUUUGUUUUGCUCCUUACAGGCUCCGUGAUCCUAGCUCCAGGGUUCCUCUCAGAUGGAAAGAACUACAGCUUUUCUCAGUGCUCUCAAAAGGGGGAAAUGCUUUCCCCAGAGAACCUGGGGAAAGUUGGAAAGCAUCUAACCUCCAGCCUCAUGCAGGAGACCCCCUAGCCACUGCCCAGCCCCCUCUUCCAGUAGGGAAGGCAGUGAAGGGGCUGGGGGAGAGGUGGCAGUGCUGUUUAGGAAAAAAGAGCCAGCUUUGGGUUUGGAGAGAUCAGAGCCAGAACCUCAGUUUUUCCAUGACUUAAAGAAAUGUACCCCCUUUGUAACUCCUAACCCCACCUGAUGGGGUGGCUUGGGUUAAGUAAGAGAAUAUAGGGGUUGUAGUUUUCCUGGUUGACUGGACACCAUUCUUUCUUUGUGGAUUCUGGAGAGGCCAUCUCUUCUGAUCAGAAAACGGGAGACUUGGUCUGCAACGUACUUCCCCAGGACAAACCUCAGUUUCAGGUGCCAGGGCAACCAGGUCACAACAGCAGUGGUGUGCCAGUGGCCCCCAUCAUUCUUCCACCAGAUUCUUGGUCCUUUGUGUGCAAAUCCUACCAUCCCACCUCCUCUGGACUGUGGGGGGAGGCCUAUCUUUCUGUGUUCCAUCGUCCCUCCCUGCCCGAGGUGGCCCAGGAUCAGCUCUCAGCCCUACCCAUUAUAGUCUGAGGGCAAGGGGAGGGUAAAAACAAGCUAUGAUGGGCCACAGGGGUCCCUCCUCCUCAGGACUUCAGGUGGACCUCAAAGAAGUUCAACUUAUUUUAGCAAAGAGUUCUUGAGCUGGAUGUGCAUUUAAAAAGAUCUAGGAGAGAUACCAAAGUGCAACUGUUUCUAGCUGGGUGGAAUUGUGUUUAUAUUUUCUUGUGGCUUCUCCAUAUUCUCUAACAUUUCAGUGGUAACUUUGAAGUGCUUUUAAAACAAUUUCUAAAAAUCUACUUUAAACUGAAAAAGAGGAAAUAAAAAUUACAGAUUGCCCAUCCAUUCCUGUCACCUAGAUUGGGACAGGUCUAGAAGGAGGGUGGUUGGUCAGAGAAUCAGAGAUGCUUGGUUGAGGUGUUGUCUGUGCUCCAGACCAGCUGGACAACCUGGAGUAGACUUAACAAACUUCAGUUUCUUCAUCUCUAAGUGGUGCUGAUGUCACACAAUGGCAAUGCAGUAUGUCAACGUGGUGGAUAAGAAUACAGGCCAAGUCAGACAGACCUGGGUUCAAAAGCCUAAAUUCUCGGCACAUGCUGAUUUUUUUCUUUGAACAGAUUACUUCAAGUUUCAUUUUCUCAUUCCUAAAAUAAAGAUGAUGAUAACACUA